rnacentral:rRNA from 1 species
GACGAACGCUGGCGGCGUGCUUAACACAUGCAAGUCGAGCGGUAAGGCCCUUUCGGGGGUACACGAGCGGCGAACGGGUGAGUAACACGUGGGUGACCUGCCCUCAGCUCUGGGAUAAGCCUGGGAAACCGGGUCUAAUACCGGAUAUGACUCCAUGACGCAUGUUGUGGGGUGAAAGCCUUGUGCGGCUGAGGAUGGGCCCGCGGCCUAUCAGCUUGUUGGUGGGGUGAUGGCCUACCAAGGCGACGACGGGUAGCCGGCCUGAGAGGGUGAACGGCCACACUGGAACUGAGACACGGUCCAGACUCCUACGGGAGGCAGCAGUGAGGAAUUUUGCGCAAUGGGCGAAAGCCUGACGCAGCAACGCCGCGUGGACGAUGAAGGUCUUCGGAUCGUAAAGUCCUGUCGAGU